rnacentral:lncRNA from 1 species
CUUAUCUCUGCCCCCUCCUCUCUCCCAGCACCCAUCACAGCCUUCCCCUGAUCUGCCCCUUUAAGAAAAAUCAGCCCUCUCCGCUCCUCACCCUCCGCACACUGACCUUACACACUGGACAAUAUUUAAGGAUCAAGGUGCCAUCCUAUAAAGAGAAGAAAUCGCUGGCUCCUCUGGCCAUGAAAAAAACACCGUGUAAAUUGCCAUUUCAGAUUUUUCAAAAAACAUGUUCAGCUCUAAGAAUUCUUCCGAAUUCGUUACACUCCGCCGCGCGAGGCUGCGCCUUGAUGGCCCCGGCGAAGUGACUCAUGUUCCACUGGGUUUUAUUCCUGGGAAGACUUGUGCUGAACCAGAGGAAAGAGCAGAACCUUUGGGGAAGGAAUGGCACGGUUUGGAAAGCAUCAGACACACUCACUGCUCCCUGUCAGAAAAUGAAAGCUCUGGUUUACAUCUCAUGUGAGAAAAUGGCCUUAAAAAUAAAAUAUUGCUUUGAUAACUGG